rnacentral:rRNA from 1 species
ACAAUGGGCGCAAGCCUGAUGCAGCGACGCCGCGUGCGGGAUGACGGCCUUCGGGUUGUAAACCGCUUUUGAUCGGGAGCAAGCCUUCGGGUGAGUGUACCUUUCGAAUAAGCACCGGCUAACUACGUGCCAGCAGCCGCGGUAAUACGUAGGGUGCAAGCGUUAUCCGGAAUUAUUGGGCGUAAAGGGCUCGUAGGCGGUUCGUCGCGUCCGGUGUGAAAGUCCAUCGCUUAACGGUGGAUCUGCGCCGGGUACGGGCGGGCUGGAGUGCGGUAGGGGAGACUGGAAUUCCCGGUGUAACGGUGGAAUGUGUAGAUAUCGGGAAGAACACCAAUGGCGAAGGCAGGUCUCUGGGCCGUUACUGACGCUGAGGAGCGAAAGCGUGGGGAGCGAACAGGAUUAGAUACCCUGGUAGUCCACGCCGUAAACGGUGGAUGCUGGAUGUGGGGCCCGUUCCACGGGUUCCGUGUCGGAGCUAACGCGUUAAGCAUCCCGCCUGGGGAGUACGGCCGCAAGGCUAAAACUCAAAGAAAUUGACGGGGGCCCGCACAAGCGGCGGAGCAUGCGGAUUAAUUCGAUGCAACGCGAAGAACCUUACCUGGGCUUGACAUGUUCCCGACAGCCGUAGAGAUACGGCCUCC